rnacentral:tRNA from 1 species
UGGCUCAGUCAGUAGAGCAUGCGACUCUUGAUCUCAGGGUUGUGGGUUCAAGCCCCAC